rnacentral:rRNA from 1 species
UACGAGGGGGGCAAGCGUUGUUCGGAAUUAUUGGGCGUAAAGGGCGCGUAGGCGGUUUGACAAGUCUGAUGUGAAAUCUAUGGGCUCAACCCAUAGCCUGCAUUAGAAACUGUCGGGCUUGAGUAUGGGAGAGGUGAGUGGAAUUUCCGGUGUAGCGGUGAAAUGCGUAGAUAUCGGAAGGAACACCUGUGGCGAAAAGCGGCUCACUGGACCAUAACUGACGCUGAGGCGCGAAAGCUAGGGGAGCAAACAGG